rnacentral:misc_RNA from 1 species
ACAAGGAAUUUGAUGAAUUUUACAGGAAGUUGCAGUAUGGUAAUGAGAAUGCACGACUUUGAUUGAUCUUUUUCCUUGCAACAAUGGUGCUUGCAAAGUAUCAUGAACUUAGAGAGGAGAAAGCUUUCUCUAUCUUGAGAGUUAAAAAUAAGAAUCCAGCAACCGAAAUAAGCAGUCCUGCAAGCAUGAUCACCACCAGUGCGUGCAUCGAAAUGUAGGAGUUAACGAAGAACACAACUGCAAUGGAAGCACUUUGCCAGACCUUGAGUUGCGCGAAUGCUCCUUCCAUAUCAUGCUUGAAAAGUAUUCCAAGCAAAGCACUAAGCUGUGUAUUUAAUACUCCGUCACCAAUGCCCAACAUAGCUGCCAUGAGAAGUGGGUACAUGACACCAAGUAUUCCACUGGCUAAACUGUAUUUUAGCAGAAUCCAGAGAAAUACAACAGCAUGAAGAAAAGCUCCAGCAGAUACUAUCCAUGUGAUUGAUGGAAGACCAGAUGUAAGUCGACCAGCAGUGAGUGAACAUAUGGCAUCAAAGGCACCAUACACUGCCAUUGCACCACCAACACCAG